CCAGCACCUGCGGUAAUUCCAGCUCCAAUAGCGUAUAUUAAAGUUGUUGCAGUUAACAAGCUCGUAGUUGAAUUUCUGGUAGGGUGCCAAUGUCCGCCGCCGUGACUGCGCAGCGGCGCCCUUCCAUCCUUCUGUCAACGCUUCUUGGCAUUCGUUUGCUGGUAGCGGGCUCAGAUAUUUUACCUUGAGAAAAUUAGAGUGUUUCAGGCAGGCUAGGCCGGAAUACAUUAGCAUGGAAUAAUGGAAUAGGACUACGGUCUCUUUGUUGGUUUGAGGUACUGCAGUAAUGAUUAAUAGGGAUAGUUGGGGGCAUUAGUAUUUAAUUGUCAGAGGUGAAAUUCUCGGAUUUGUUAAAGACUAACGUAUGCGAAAGCAUUUGCCAACGAUGUUUUCAUCAAUCAAGAACGAAAGU
rnacentral:rRNA from 1 species